rnacentral:snoRNA from 15 species
UUCCACAGCUACUGGUCUGCAACUGUUCUCAUCUAUAGCAGUUGUUGUAUUCCACUGUGGGAAAGGAACUGUUACACUGUUAAAUAACCUCUUUCUAAUAUAACAGAAAGUGGGUUCUUUGUGUGACAGACACCU